GCUCUGUGGGCCCCAGGUGCCCCAGGAAAACUUGGGGGAGAAUGGGCAUCCCACCCCAGCACUUUCUAGGAAGAAGGGCAGCAUUUUGAAGGGCUGGAAGUAGAGGAAGGAGGUUGCGGGUAGAAGACUCCAUACUUUCUGUGAUGCCUAUUCCUUAGGUAGGAACUUAGGAACCUCAGUCAGAGGCGUGGCUUGCCUGGGCCUCUGGGUGCAGCUGCACAGAUUCAAGCAGCCUGAAGGAAAGGUGACUGACAGCUAAUGAUCUGAAAAGAACUUGUCUCAACUCAACGUCAUUCCUGGCAUUAUCGAACAAAGCAAUAAACCUCACAGAAUGGAAGCUACAGUGUCCAGGGCCAGCUCUGCUAAGGUAACCAAAGACAGAGAAGGAGGCAAAAGUGACAGAAGAAACUCAUGGGAAACCAACAGAAAUAUAAUGGCUUUGGCAGAAAUGCAAUUAUCAAUUGGGAGCUUGUGAUGAAUGUUUUCUCAGUAUCCUAUGCUGAAAACAGGUAGAUACUAAUAUCUAUCUUCAAGGGAGGGCUGUUGAGUAUUGAAUAAGACAAAAACACGGAAGCAAUCAGCACCAUGCUGGAAUCAAGGCUAUCUGUAAUCACAGGGCUAUUUGAAAAAGAGAAGAAAAGGUGUCUUGAAAUUCAACCAACAUGUUUCAAUUAUUUGCUCCUAAGAACAACAGAAGUUUCAACAUUCUGCCAACAGAGUAACUCCUGGAAGAUUGGCACAAAGAAGGCACAAGGAGAGCCUUUAUAUAACCAAAGAUAUUUUUGGACCAUGAAUUCGGAAAUUCUCGGAGCCACCCAUCAGUGCCUGAGCUUCAGUGAGUCCAUAUCCCAUGUCACCCAUGGCAAAAGAGAAUCUAAGACUUCUGAAGAGUUUCUUGCUUCUUUCCUGUGGGGCAGUGACUCCACUUCCCAGCAGUAAUGGAAUAUCCUGAAUUAGCUACAUUAAUGUUAGAACCAUUUGGACCUCACCCAGGACUUCAACUACAUUAUGCUAAAGUUACAGAACUCAAAUUUGGCAACUGUUCGCAUCUGAACAACAGAAGUUUCAACAUUCUGCCAACAGAGUAACUCCUGGACGAUUGGCACAGAAGAAGGCACAAGGCAAAUACCCAUCUCUGUACACCCUGUGCUACUGUGUCAUGUGCUGCUCCAGGCAACUCCAAUGGAUUGGCCACCCUGGCCAAUGUGUUCUAGUAUGUUAGGUUUAUGUUCCCCUGCUUUCUACAAUCCUGUUCAAAGAGUUGCUGACUUAACCACAGAGAGGAUUCCAGAACAUGAGACACAGAAUAAACUUGAGCAAUCAUAGUCCAUCCACUUCAUUUUCUCAUCAAAAACCAAAGGUCCAGUGAAGCUCUGGAACUCAACGCUGUAAAGGAGCGAAGGAGCUUCUAUACAGAGCCCGGAUGCCUGUCUCCUUAUCCUACUUCAGUGGACUUGACUGCAAUCCGGAUUAUGCUGUUUUCUAAGCAUUUGAAAUAAAAUAAAAAGUGUAAUAGUGUGAUAA